GACGGAGGGUGCUAGCGUUGUUCGGAAUCACUGGGCGUAAAGGGCGCGUAGGCGGCGUCGCAAGUCGGCUGUGAAAGCCCGGGGCUCAACCCCGGAGGUGCAGCCGAGACUGCGGUGCUCGAGGCCGGAAGAGGAGGGUGGAAUACCCAGUGUAGAGGUGAAAUUCGUAGAUAUUGGGUGGAACACCGGUGGCGAAAGCGGCUCUCUGGUCCGGCACUGACGCUGAGGCGCGAAAGCGUGGGGAGCAAACAGGAUUAGAAACCCCCGUAGUCC
rnacentral:rRNA from 1 species